UUAACUCAGAUUUGUAUGGACUUAGAACAUGUUCCUACGUUUGCCGCUAGGGGCGCUGUUCCAACUGCAAAUUUCAGCUA
rnacentral:pre_miRNA from 1 species